GCAAAAAUUCACCUGCAAAAAUUCAACUGCAAAAAUUCACCUGCAAAAGUGAUGACCUUAAAUGACCCAAGCCAGAGCAAUCAGCACUAGAUCGAGUCGAGCGGCUCUCAGCCAAUUAAAUUACGCUGUUUGAUCACAUGACAUGUUAGCCGGCAGUGUCUUCUGAAAAGAGAGCUGUUUAGAGGUGAGUGAUUAAGUUUUUCUCCUAAAUAGAGAUCAUUACAGAACGCCUAGUCCUACUUAAAAUACCAUUCAUUUUUCUUUUAUUUUAUCAUCUACUCGAACUGAGGAAAACGUUUGACUAACUCAAAGAAAAGUUCCGCGCCUCCCCUGCCUGUCUGCAGAGGCAGUUUUGAAUUCAGGAGCGGCAUGAUGGCAGCGGCAAACCCUGGCGGUUCUCCGGGUUCGUGGCAACCACGGAUGGGAAAAUGUGGAGGUUGCACGGCUGAUGUUUACUGUUCGUGGCACAGGAAGAGGCAGUUUCAUUUCAGGAAUGAGUGUGCACAAUCAAAGAAUAGAGCGACUGUGGAGAGACCUCUGGGUGGCCGUUACAUGCAUUUACUACGAUGUUCUUCACAACCCUGAGGAAGAAGGCCUUCUUGACAUUUCAAAUGCUGCACACCUCUUUUGCUGCGAUUACAUCUUUCUUCCUCGACUAGAGGAUAAUUUUAAUACAUUUUGCAGUGGAUGGGACAACCAUCCACUGCGAACAGAAAACAACAUGAGUCCCCCAACCAGCUGUGGGAGUUGGGUCACAGAUAUUACCCUGUUCCUGUUCCAGAAAACACACAGCUUAUCACACAUUUGAUUUCCAUGUGUGACGACUGCAAGUGUCCAGAGUGAGGACAGACUGAGGGACCCACUGCUGCACAUCAUCUGUGAGGCUUUGCACCCCUGAUGAUCCACCAGGACACACUCAGCAGUGUGUGAGGAAGAGGAGGAGGAAGAGCCAGCAGCAGCUGACAGAUGGAGAGAAUAGACAGACUGUUCCCUGUUUGUGAAGGACUGCUAGAAAAGUUUAAAAUAACUAAUUGUCUGUCCUGAAUCAGUCUUAUUAGGUAAUGUUCAAAUAAUGUUAUCAUUCCAGUGUUUUCAGUGUGGGAGAAAGUACUCAGGGCCUUCAAGUUACACACUAUGAAAGGCAGCAACAAGUUUAAUGUUCAGAAACCUAAAGUAUG